rnacentral:lncRNA from 1 species
CGAGAGAAGCCAAGUCUUGAGUCAAGUUAUCGGAUCAAGAUCACAAUUUAAAGAACGACUCAUGUAUAACUUUAUUUCUUGGUCUUGUGCUUGAAUCUUGUUAUGUAUCAAUUUCACGCUUGUGCUUGGACCUCGUCAUAUGUCAAUUGCGCAUAGUUUGUCAUUCAUCAAAACCUACAAAUAUGAAUAUACGUUUAGUAU